rnacentral:rRNA from 1 species
GACAUAGGUGGCGAACGUUAUCCGGAAUUAUUGGGCGUAAAGGGCGCGUAGGCGGCUCGCCAAGUCGGGGGUGAAAUCUCUCGGCUCAACCGGAAAAUAGCUUCCGAUACUGGCGGGCUGGAGGGAGGUAGGGGCGACUGGAACUUCCGGUGGAGCGGUGAAAUGCGUAGAUAUCGGAAGGAACGCCGGUGGCGAAAGCGAGUCGCUGGACCUCUUCUGACGCUGAGGCGCGAAAGCCAGGGGAGCAAACGGG